rnacentral:rRNA from 1 species
CAGCGGCCCUAGUGGCGAUCGUUAUUAUUGGGCCUAAAGCGUCCGUAGCCGGUUCGGUAAAUCUCUGGGUAAAUCGUUGGGCUUAACUCAGCGAAUUCUGGGGAGACUGCCGAACUUGGGACCGGGAGAGGUCGGAGGUACUCCAGGGGUAGGGGUGAAAUCCUGUAAUCCUUGGGGGACCACCGGUGGCGAAAGCGUCCGACCAGAACGGGUCCGACGGUAAGGGACGAAGCCCUGGGUCGCGAACCGGAUUAGAUACCCGAGUAGUCC